GGCGUCAUAGCUCAGUUGGGAGAGCAGCAGACUGAAGUGAUCAUUGAUUCGCACUUGAAAUUUGAAAUCUGAAGGUCCCGUGUUCAAGCCACGGUGAUGCCA